rnacentral:lncRNA from 1 species
UCACUUCGUGCUGGAUGUCGCAAGAAAGAACCUUUAUGGAUCGUAUUUGAAGUUUCGGGUUCCAUUGAACUGUCAUCUUAUCUAAAUGUAUCAUCUUACAAGACCAUUGAUGGACGUGGACAGAGGAUUAAGCUUACUGGAAAGGGUUUGAGGCUGAAAGAAUGCGAACAUGUGAUUAUCUGCAACCUGGAAUUUGAAGGAGGUAGAGGACAUGAUGUAGAUGGCAUUCAAAUCAAGCCUAAUUCAAAACAUAUAUGGAUUGAUCGUUGUAGCCUCCAGGAUUAUGAUGAUGGCUUGAUUGAUAUUACCCGCCAAAGCACAAAUAUUACCAUUUCCCGGUAAUUAAUUAAUCUUUAGCAGUCUCCAUAACUGUAGUAUACAACACUUUAUAAAAACACAUCAUCUGUGUAUCUGAUUUACGUGUAACAUGAUACUUUCAGUUGUCACUUUUCAAACCAUGACAAGACAAUGCUAAUUGGAGCAGACCCUUCGCACCAUGGAGACAGAUGCAUGUGUGUCACUAUUCACCAUUGUUUCUUUGAUGGGACUCGCCAAAGGCAUCCACGUGUCAGGUUUGCCAAAGUACAUUUGUACAACAACUACACCAGAAACUGGGGAAUUUAUGCUGUCUGCGCUAGUGUUGAAUCACAGGUAGUACACAAAUUUCAAUUAUCUCCUUAUUCUUUUUUUCAUUUUUCAUUUUUAAUCUCUAAGCAUAUGUAUAAAACUAUGGUGUAUAACUUAUCAAUCGUUUACUUCAGAUAUACUCUCAAUGCAACAUAUAUGAAGCAGGACAGAAAAAGGUGGCUUUUAAGUAUCUCACUGAGAAGGUAAACUACUACAUACUUUUUACGGUUGAGUGGUACCAUAUGCAGUGAUGGUUGUACAUUGUGCAGGCAGAUGACAAAGAGGAGGCAUGCACAGGCUGCAUUGUGUCUGAAGGUGAUCUGUUUAUGGCUGGAACUCAAGCUGGCUUAUUGGGUCCAGAUGCAACAAGUAGUUUUUUUCAUCCAAGUCAAUACUAUGAGACAUGGACUGUUGAACCUGCAACAAUGGAACUUAAAGAUGUGUUGAAGCAUUGUACAGGGUGGCAACAAGUUCCGCGCCCAGCUGGCGAGUAAUCGGUUGUGUAUUCUUGCGCGAAUAUAUAUUAUAUUGAUGUAUACGGGAUGAUAAUUUUUAUGUGUAGUUAUGUCGUAUUUGAUAAGUUAAUAUGUAGUUAUGUGUUUGUAUGAGGACUGAUGAGUGCUUCCAGCGGAUACAUAUUCAUGCUCAUAUUAUCGCUGAUUUGUGUUUAAGCUUUUAAAGAGGAUUUCUAUAAAAGACUGAUUCUGUUUUUGGCAAGUUUGACACAAAAUUUGAAAGUAAAUAAGUUGUAGCCUAAUCCUAGUGGUUUGUGCUUUGUCUUAAUUUGAAUGGAGGUAGGAGAUGUCGAAACCUUCUUCUGCAUCAUGCCACCAUGAUCAUGGACGAUCGGCCUCAAUACAACGAAUUAUCACAACCAAUCAUCUUUCUUCUUCUCUCUUGCAGCCCUCCUUCCCUUUUCUAUGUCCCUCUCUCUCCCUGUUUGCUGACCUGGAAGCUCUCUGCGCUCCUUGGCGUGGGCAUGCAAGAUGAACAUUUCCAAAAUAUGAAGCUUUCCCCCAAAAUACUACAAUUUUGGAGACCCUACAUUAAAAUGGUUUUUUGGCAUUGUAGCACAAGAAGUUUGGUCAAUUUUUACCCGUCAAUCACACCAUUAUAACACCAGAUACCGGAAGAGCAGCUGACUUUAGUGAUUUGACAUUUUAAAUUAGAUUUUUAUAUAUUGUUUAAGUGCCACAUAAUAUCCAUGGUGGAAAACCAAUUGAUUUAUAUGGGUCUUGGUGAGUAUUACUUCGUCUUUGAUGAGAAUAUCCAUGAUAACCGAGGAUCAGACCUCGAGUUCUUGAUUUCCGCCCUAGAAAAUUAUCAUCGUGGCUGAGAUCUUGUUCGACGAUUGUGUUGGGUUUAUAUUUUAGUAAGGUUAACAAUUGUAAGGUAUCGAAGUCAUCGCCGGUGAUGUCAUAGAUAUAGUGGUGAAUCCGGUAGACAACGAUGGUUUCACUAAUUUUGAAGCCUAGUUGAGCCGUAAGAUUCGAAUUGAUUUUUCCGAUUUUUCCUUCGUUAGGAGUGAAUUCAAAUGGGAGGCCGAGAGAGUUUGCAAAGUCAUGAAGACGACGAUUGUCCAUAUCACCAUAACGUGACUAAUUGUUCAUAUGUGCCAAUUAGGCAUGGUUACUUGGUAAAUAUGAGGGUCCGUCCUGAUUUAAUACGUAAAAACUAACUUCAGUGACUAAUUGCAUAAAAAAAUCUUGAAUGACUAAAUGUGUAAAUUGAUCAAACUUCAUUGUGUUACGGUGCCAAAAAUCCACAUUAAAAUGUUGUUUUUUUUAUCUAUGAAAUAUAACACAAACAGAAACAUGUAUGAUGUUAUUUUUAAUAGAAAUGUCAAAAUUAGAAUGGUUGACUCCGAAACCCAUUAGAACAUUUCUUAAGGGGGUGUUUGGUUAAACUGAUUUAAGCUUCUUUUUAGCUUAUUACCGGUUCCACACCGGUAUAAGCUAAAAAUAGUGUUUGGAUAGAAAUAGCUUACCAAGUUGCCAUACUGGAAAUAAGUCAAAAUCUAUAAAUAAGUCCCUUCUAACUUAUAAGCUUAUAAGUUAUAAGCUAUAAGUUGAAAAGUACUUAUGAAAAGUCAUAAGUUAAGCCAAACACCCCCUAAAUACGACAUCAACCUUACAAAAGUUAAAACCUUAUCAAAACCAAAGUGCAUACCAAUCAAAUGGGUUUUUGAAAUUCUCAAAACAAUUUAUUGACUUAAAAAAUGUUUAUGCACUUUUUAAAAUAAAUUUUCCAUUAACUUCAAAACUAAGAGCAUCUCCAAUGCAAGCUUGUUAAUAGUUUUUUACUAUUUGUUUGACCACUUAGUAUUAUUAAACAUCAUUGGAGGAUUGCUUUUUUGCUUUUUUUAUUUUUUUAUUUACCACUAAAUAUAUAUUGAAUAGUCAAUAUAGUAUAAAUGUUUGACAAUCUAACCUUAUCAUUAAGAAUAUUUCAUUUUACAUACAUAAUUUUAUUUUAGUUGAAAUAAUAUUUAUUUCUUUAAUAAAUAAUUAUUUAUAUUAGAUGUUAUAGAUGUUUAUAUAUUAUAACCAAAAUGAAGUUUAAUACAAACCAUUUUUAAUAAAAAUAUGAUGCGUUUAAAAACAACUAAUUAAAUGAAGCGGUUUUAAAAAACAAUUUAUAUACAUGUGGACCAAUUAGUUAAACUUAAAAAAAAAAAGCUAUGUUGAGGUUAACAAUUUGAGAUAUAAUUUAAUUAGAGUUUAAAACUAAUAGAAUGAUGAGUUGAUAAUAACUUUAAGUUAUAAGAUAACUUAACCAUUGGAAAUGUGCUAAGAUUUAUAAAAAAACAUUUAAACUCGACUUUUAAUUUCUCUUUAUAACUACAAUAACUAAGAAAAAUAGCAAUACAAAUAUUUUUUUAACUUUUUAACGUAUUUGAUUUUUACCAUUAAAAAUCCCAAACACCCCUCAAACUUGAAAUGCUCAAAAAAAUUACGUAGUUACAUAUAUUGACAAUAAUCAUGUCUUAAUACCCUGCUAACUGUUUUUUUUUCCUUCUUCCCCAUAACAAGUAGCUAAGGGGGAUCCAUCUCCCAACCACCCUCUAGCUUCGAAGAACGCCAAACCUUUGUUCGUUCACUGGAAAUCAUUACAAGUGAAUCAUACUUUCACCCAUCUGUCUCAUGAACCAAAGUUAACCAUCAAUCUCUUCAAAACCAGAGAAAAAACAAUGAACAAUAUGAAGCAAUUACACAAACAUCCGAGCGCAAGCCAUAAAAGAGAUGAAGAGAUGAUGUCUACCCAUGAAAUCCCACCUUACUCCCCCAAAUCCCUCAAACACACAUCAGCAGUCAGAUCUAUUUCACGGUCCGUUAAUUACAUCCUCAAAGAACAACGUCUUCUCUUCACCCUAGUCGGAAUCCUCAUCGGCUCCGUCUUCUUCAUCUAUCAACCAUCAUUAUCUACCGUUUCCUCAAUCAACACUGUUACUAGCAACGAAUUGCCCUCAAUGCAAGCAGUUUCAUUCUCCCAACGUGACACCAACACCCACUACAGCCGGCCAGCUACCCACGACACUACAGGACAGAUUCCGGUGGGGAUUGGGUGGAAGAGGAUGCGGGUGGUGGUGACUGGUGGAUCAGGGUUCGUAUGUUUAAAUAUGUAAUAUGGACAAUUAUAUAUAUAACACAAUACCCAAAAAUACUUGGUAAAAUAAUUCUUUUUCAAAUCUGAUAUAACACAAUAUUAAAAAAAAUAAUCCCUAUUCUAAUAAAUGAAUAGUUUUAAUUUCUUUUUGCAAAAUGUCAUUUUAAUAUAACUUCUUAUUAAUAUUAUACCAUAUGUCAUUUAGAUAUAUUAGACAACUCUUUUUUUAAAUUCAAAUUUACAUUUUCUAAUUAUAUGUUAAAUUUGAAGUUAUAAUAACUUUAAAUUUUUGAUAUAUCUAUUAAUUAAUAAUUUAUUUAAAAUAAUUAAUUAAUAAUUAUAAAACUUUAUUAUAAAAAUUUAAUUAAUUUUAUAAAUUAGUUAUCUAAUAAUAAACCCAACUAGUUUAUCCAGUAGGUACUAUUUUAUAAAAAAUCCUAUUAGCAACCGCUUUACUUGAUGUUUAAGAAAAGGAAUAACGGUCAGUUGAGUUAACUCGGGUGUCGGUGAAACAGAAAUCGACAAAACCAGUUUUGGAUCAAAACUCACAAUCAUUAAUGGGGAACCAUAACUCCGGCGGGCGCCACCACCUACGAAACCGUAGAAAUGGUGAAACUGUAGUUCAAGUCCCUCAUUAUCAAUACGGACCUCCAUCAAAUCAAGCUCCCGUCGAGCUCAAUUACGCAUAACCAAAUGGCAGUAGUAUCACUCCCUUACUCUCAAGUCGACUGUAACUUGCGAGCUCUCGCCGGACAAGCAGAGGGCUUCGGUCGCUUCGCCGUCGGUGGACUUAAUGGACCGCUCUACCAUGUCACUACUCUAUCAGGUUUAGUCUCGCUAAUUAAUGAUCGUUCUCGACUCUCGUUAUCGUUUUGUUGGAUAAUUAGGGUUUUGCUAUCAAUGUACCGAUUCUGAAAUCGAUUAAUCUGCCAAAUCGUAUUCAGUUGAUUCAUUUAUUCAGAUAAUUGAUGUUAUACAUGAACAAGCUUUUACCUUGUUGUGUAGAUGAUGGACCUGGUUCACUUCGUGCUGGAUGUCGCAAGAAAGAACCUUUAUGGAUCGUAUUUGAAGUUUCGGGUUCCAUUGAACUGUCAUCUUAUCUAAAUGUAUCAUCUUACAAGACCAUUGAUGGACGUGGGCAGAGGAUUAAGCUUACUGGAAAGGGUUUGAGGCUGAAAGAAUGCGAACAUGUGAUUAUCUGCAACUUGGAAUUUGAAGGAGGUAGAGGGCAUGAUAUAGAUGGCAUUCAAAUCAAGCCUAAUUCAAAGCAUAUAUGGAUUGAUCGUUGUAGCCUCAAGGAUUAUGAUGAUGGGUUGAUUGAUAUUACCCGCCAAAGCACAAAUAUUACCAUUUCCC